GACGAACGCUGGCGGCGUGCUUAACACAUGCAAGUCGAACGGAAAGGCCCUGCUUUUGUGGGGUGCUCGAGUGGCGAACGGGUGAGUAACGCGUGAGUAACCUGCCCUUGACUUUGGGAUAACUUCAGGAAACUGGGGCUAAUACCGGAUAGGAGCUCCUGCUGCAUGGUGGGGGUUGGAAGGUUUCGGCGGUUGGGGAUGGACUCGCGGCUUAUCAGCUUGUUGGUGGGGUAGUGGCUUACCAAGGCUUUGACGGGUAGCCGGCCUGAGAGGGUGACCGGCCACAUUGGGACUGAGAUACGGCCCAGACUCCUACGGGAGGCAGCAGUGGGGAAUAUUGCACAAUGGGCGGAAGCCUGAUGCAGCAACGCCGCGUGCGGGAUGACGGCCUUCGGGUUGUAAACCGCUUUCGCCUGUGACGAAGCGUGAGUGACGGUAAUGGGUAAAGAAGCACCGGCUAACUACGUG
rnacentral:rRNA from 1 species